rnacentral:lncRNA from 1 species
CAAACAAACAAAAACCCUACAGCUGUUUCCAGAGUGACUAUACAUGCUGAGGACACUGAGCUGAGGAGAACACUCAUCCUUGCCAUAGUUGGAAAUAACACCAUCGCAGCUACUUCUAUUGCUAAGAAGAGCAAUCAUCAUCUAUUUCGCUCUUGUUCUCUGCCAGUCCAAAUGAAGCCAGACCUUCUGAUCGUGCCCAGCAGAUACAAGAGUCUCAGAUGAGGAUGCUGUUGGAAUUUGCCGAAUGCCUCAGAAAGGUCAGCCUCCUGCUCAUCCAUCCAGGACGACAAAAGACAAGGAGGAGGGAGACUGUCUCCCUUCAGCAGCCCAUAGCACUUCGGUGGACCUGCAUCUGCUGAUAGCCUGUGAGUGAAUCUCCUGCCUCAGUUGCCCCCUUAGGCACCUGAGGUCUCACAUUUAGAUUGCUGGAAUCAGGCUGGCGAUGGAGCUCAGUGGUAGAUUGCUUUCCUAGCAUGUGUGGUGCUCUGGGUCCAAUGCCCAGCAGUGCUGAAGGGGAAAAGAGGAAAGCAAUCAGCAGCCCCCUGACAUAGAUCACAGGCCCCAUCCGCUGUCCUCUACCCUGUUGUACAUUCUGUGGGUUUUGCUAAAUAAGAAUUACAGGAGGUCAUUGUUUUGGACCAAGUUCCUGUACUAGGCCCCUACAGACCAGACUAAAAAUCAAAAUGGAGUCACUCAUACUAAAGUUCUGUGUCACCAAGCUGAAAAUACACUACUUAUCUAACCUCCUCAGAGAAAGGAUUAGAGAGAUAACAGCCAGAUUUCCCAAACAGCCCACUUUCCAUUGGCAUGAUAAUGAAGUUCCUUUGCCUUAAUCCUUUCACAAAGAUGGUAAUUUAAAGUAACUGCUGCUAACCAACCAAUUUAAAAAAAAAAAAUUCUGUCUCUCUGUCCCCAUCUUAUAAGGAAAGGAAUUUUGAAAUGACUAAGUCACUUUUUAUUUUUUGUGUCUGCUUUCUUCAGUCCUUCUUUGCCUAUAAAACCACCUUCUGCAGUUUGGCUAUUGGAACAUUUGCUCUACUUUAUGAAACUGUUACUGAAAUUCUAGGCCAGAGGCCCAGCUCUGGUGGCCCCAACAGCCUCCAGCAUUCAGUUAGUGAGACAAAUGUGGUGAAGUAGGAAAGGAAUUUAUUCAGUGUGGCCAUAUGCAGAAGAACAGGGGGACCUAUGUCCCAAGGCCUAUCUUGAGGGUACCAACAAGAAGAGGGAUUAUAAAAGUGGGGAGAGUGAGAAGUAUGCAUAGUCAAGCAGUUGUGAUCCAACUGUGGUCUGGUUAAUCAUUAACUCGGUCUGGCUCCAAGAGAUCUUACUGGAGAAAUCAUUAUUGCUUUAGGGGCAAUUCCAUUCUGGUCAUGAGAUAAUUGCUCAUGCCUGGAGUGGGGGAUGUGGCCUCAGUUCCCAUCACAGGGUAUAAGCCAACAGCCUCACUGUUUCUGGAAGGACCUGAGAGAUCAGGCCAGAGCAGCAAAAUGGAG